rnacentral:rRNA from 1 species
CACGAACGCUGGCGGCAGGCUUAACACAUGCAAGUCGAGCGCCCCGCAAGGGGAGCGGCAGACGGGUGAGUAACGCGUGGGAAUCUACCCAUCUCUACGGAAUAACGCUUGGAAACGUGUGCUAAUACCGUAUACGUCCUUCGGGAGAAGGAUUUAUCGGAGAUGGAUGAGCCCGCGUUGGAUUAGCUAGUUGGUGGGGUAAAGGCCUACCAAGGCGACGAUCCAUAGCUGGUCUGAGAGGAUGAUCAGCCACACUGGGACUGAGACACGGCCCAGACUCCUACGGGAGGCAGCAGUGGGGAAUAUUGGACAAUGGGCGCAAGCCUGAUCCAGCCAUGCCGCGAGAGUGAUGAAGGCCCUAGGGUUGUAAAGCUCUUUCACCGGUGAAGAUAAUGACGGUAACCGGAGAAGAAGCCCCGGCUAACUUCGUGCCAGCCGCCGCGGUAAUAC